rnacentral:rRNA from 1 species
CAGGCGUAACACAUGCAAGUCGAACGCCCUCGCAAGGGGGAGUGGCAGACGGGUGAGUAACACGUGGGAACAUACCCUCAGGUUCGGAACAACGCCGGGAAACUGGCGCUAAUACCGGAUACGCCCUGUGAAGGGGAAAGGCUUGCUGCCUGAGGAGUGGCCCGCGUUCGAUUAGCUGGAUGGCGGGGUAACGGCCCACCAUGGCGACGAUCGAUAGCUGGUCUGAGAGGAUGGCCAGCCACAUUGGGACUGAGACACGGCCCAAACUCCUACGGGAGGCAGCAGUGGGAAUAUUGGACAAUGGGCGCAAGCCUGAUCCAGCCAUGCCGCGUGAGUGAUGAAGGCCUUAGGGUUGUCAAGCUCUUUUAUCCCGGGAUGAUAGAAACAGUACCGGGAGAAUAAGCUCCGGCUAACUCCGUGCCAGCAGCCGCGGUAAU